GUGUCAGCAGCCGCGGUAAUACAGAGGGCGCGAGCGUUGUCCGGAAUCACUGGGCGUAAAGGGCGCGUAGGUGGCCACCAUAAGGCCGCGGUGAAAGUCUGGGGCUCAACCCCGGAUCGGCCGCGGCGACUGUGGGGCUUGGGCACCGUAGAGGCAGAUGGAAUUCCGGGUGUAGCGGUGGAAUGCGUAGAGAUCCGGAAGAACACCAGUGGCGAAGGCGGUCUGCUGGGCGGUGGGACCGAAAGGUCUCGAUGCCGACACUGAGGCGCGACAGCGUGGGGAGCAAACAGGAUUAGAUACCCUUGUAGUCC
rnacentral:rRNA from 1 species